UCUCCUCCACAAGGUCUCUCCUUGAGGACUGAGAGAGAAUUCUGGUUCACGUACAUGAGCGCAAGGAGGAACCUCUUUCGAGUUUUCUCAUUUCCUUUUACUGAUUUUGCUAGAAAACAGACAUCCCUGUUUACAAGCCAAUCACCCAGUAUCAUCACCCUGCCUGCUGGCUGGGCAGGGUAACUCCUCAGGUCACCACCCUCUCCAGCCUGCCUUGGGCUUGGGAAGUGAGGAGGAGGGCGAGGGACAGCUGGCGACCCUGAACAUCUGCCAUCCAUCGCGCUCCAUCACCUAGAGCAAUCAGGGACCCCCAGGGACUCAGAGGAGGAGGAGGAAUGGGUGGACGUGGUCAGAGAGGAAGCUGCUCUCAAGUGAUCAGAGAGCAGCUUCCAGGCAGAGAAAAGGUACAAAUUAAGUACAAAGUUCUCCAGCUGGGCUGGAACCGAGAUUGUCCUGCCCCUUCCCAGCAUUUCCCACUCCCUUCAGAGGGCCUUGUCCCUAAUGAUCCACCACCCCAAUGGGGACCUUUCUCCUCCAUGAUCUGGGACCCCCCAAGAUGAGAGUGUUUCUCACACAUCAGCCGGGGUCUUCUCCACACACAGGCACUGUCCCAGUUCCUCACCCUGCCUGUGUAGGAGUCAUGGGUGAUUUGAACAAUGGGCGGGUCCCCACUGUCCCCCAUGGAGGUCUGAUCCCUGGAGCUGGUGUGGGUGGGGCAGGGAGGUCCUUGGCUAACAGGCUCUCUCUACCCUAACUCCACUUCUGGCCCAGCAGCUCAUGUUCCUGCACGCCAUCCACCCCUCACGUCUAGGGCUGGCUCUAGGUUUUUUGCCGCCCCAAGCAAAAAUUUUUUUGGCUGCUCCCCCACCCCAGCCCUGGGCUCCCCCUGCCCACCAGUGCCCCCCCCCCCGCCACCUUAGUACUGGGCUUUCUCUUCUCCCCCCACCCACACCCCAGCUGCCCCAGCACUAGGCUCCUCACCCCUAAACGUGGGAUCCGCUACCAGCACAUGGCGGCUGAGCUCUGGCCCAGCCCCGACUCCGUCCCCAUGCGGGUGGAGCUGCUGGGCGGCACGGAGCGGGAGUACUUCCAGGUGGCGGUGCAGCUACGGGGCGGCACGGAGAACACAGCCCCCUCCCUGGGCUUUGUGGCGCUGCUGGUGGCCAAGGUGGAUCAGUUCAUGCUCACCGCCCUCACCCUUGACAUGCUGGCGGCCGAGGACCUGGAGAGCCCCCUGGACCUGCUGCUCUUCAGACUCACCAUGCCCUGGCCCAGCCCCGGUGGGUAGGAAGGCGAGGAUCUCCGGCUGCGAGGCUAUCUGCUCAGCACC